rnacentral:rRNA from 1 species
GACAGAGGUGCCAAGCGUUAGGCGGAAUCACUGGGCUUAAAGCGUGUGUAGGCGGAUUGGUAAGUACCUUGUGAAAUCCCACAGCUCAACUGUGGAACUGCUUGGUAUACUGCCUGUCUUGAGCUACUUAGGGGCAACCGGAACAAAUGGUGGAGCGGUGAAAUGCGUAGAUAUCAGGAGGAACACCGGUGGCGAAGGCGGUUCUCUGGGCCUUACCUGACGCUGAGGAGCGAAAGCGUGGGGAGCAAACAGG